CGCGCUGGAGUUUUCCUGAUGAUUGCCUCUAAAGGCUCUUGAAGUGAUGUCCAGCAGAAUGCAGGAGAAGAGAAAAACAGUCGGAGGAAAAUAAAGCACUGGAGUAUCCAUAGAAGACAAGAGACAAGUCUGGGAAACGACAGUCCAAACCAUAAAUGCUGCCAUCCCACAGGUCAUUACAGUUUCAGACUGCAACAAAAAUGGGAAAAUCUGACUGCAAAUACAAGGGAGGAGAUCAAACGACAGAAAUACACAGAGACUGGUGACCUCUUCAGCCAGCCUGUACUCUGCCUCACACCCUAUGACAGCUGGGGUAGGUUCCAGCCCGUCUGUGGACUUGAAUUGGAUAAGCGGAAGAAAUUGGAUGGAUGGAUGUAGUACUUGGGAGCAGUAUAGUGACAACAGCAAUACAGUGCUUUUUGGUGAAGUGGCACAGUGGUUAGCACUGUCACCUUACAGCAAGAAGAGCCUGGGUUUGAAUCCACUAGCUGGCUGGAGACUUUCUGUGUGGAGUUUGUAUGUUCUCCCUACAGUAUGUUACCAUGGGUUCUCUCCAGGUACUCCAGUUUCCUCCUACAGACAUGCAUGUGUUAGGGUAAUUGGUCAUUCUAACUCUUUCCAUAGGUGUGAAUGAGCACAAAUGGAUUUCCCUCUGUGUUAGCCCUGCAAGAGACUUGCACCGUGUACCCUGCGUUUUGCCUUAUGGUAGCACAGAUAGGCUCCAAGACCUCUUGUAACCCUGGAUUAGAUAAACAGACGAAGAUGGAUGAUUAAAUGGCCACAUAAAGAAAAUUUUAUGUAAAAUUUAAAUAUUUUUGCAGGGAAUGAGUUAUUCCAUAUAAAUACUGAAUUUCAGUUAUUUUCAAAUUCGGCUUUUCUUUGUAGGAGGCAAAAUUUGUCUUUUUCUUCUUCUGUUAGAAAUGUAGUUUAUUUGCUGAGUCACCUAAUUCACUCUUAAGUGCAAAUUUGGAGACUGUCAAGAUUUGACAUAUACCAAUAUACAUAUUCAUAAAACUCCAGCUUAAUCUUGCCAGUAUAAGUAAAGCUAGAAUAAUGUCCUGUCUAGACAAAUGUAGCAAUUUGUGUGUACUAUUUCUCAUAAAUCUGUUUAUUUGCAAGUGACUGGGAUUGGCA